rnacentral:rRNA from 1 species
AUUGAACGCUGGCGGCAUGCCUUACACAUGCAAGUCGAACGGCAGCACGGGAGCAAUCCUGGUGGCGAGUGGCGAACGGGUGAGUAAUAUAUCGGAACGUGCCCAGUAGUGGGGGAUAACUGCUCGAAAGAGCAGCUAAUACCGCAUACGACCUGAGGGUGAAAGGGGGGGAUCGCAAGACCUCUCGCUAUUGGAGCGGCCGAUAUCAGAUUAGCUAGUUGGUGGGGUAAAGGCCUACCAAGGCAACGAUCUGUAGUUGGUCUGAGAGGACGACCAGCCACACUGAGACUGUGACACGGGCCAGACUCCUACGGGAGGCAGCAGUGGGGAAUUUUGGACAAUGGGCGCAAGCCUGAUCCAGCAAUGCCGCGUGCAGGAAGAAGGCCUUCGGGUUGUAAACUGCUUUUGUCAGGGAAGAAAUCCUCUAGGUUAAUACCCUUGGGGGGAUGACGGUACCUGAAGAAUAAGCACCGGCUAACUACGUGCCAGCCGCCGCGGUAAUAC